rnacentral:rRNA from 1 species
GACAGAGGUGCCAAGCGUUAGGCGGAAUCACUGGGCUUAAAGCGUGUGUAGGCGGGGGCCUAAGUACCUUGUGAAAUCCCUCGGCUCAACCGAGGAACUGCGCCCAAAACUGUCGUGCUCGAGGGAGACAGAGGUGAGCGGAACUUAGGGUGGAGCGGUGAAAUGCGUUGAUAUCCUAAGGAACACCGGUGGCGAAAGCGGCUCACUGGGUCUCUUCUGACGCUGAGGCACGAAAGCUAGGGUAGCGAACGGG